GUCGAACGAUGAAGCAGUGCUUGCACUGUGGAUUAGUGGCGAAAGGGUGAGUAACGCGUGAAUAAUCUGCCCUCAAGUUGGGAAUAGCCUCGGGAAACCGGGAUUAAUACCGAAUGUGGCGCUUCAUCGCAUGAUGAAGUAGCUAAAGGUUUACUGCUUGAGGAUGAGUUCGCGUCCCAUUAGCUAGUUGGUAAGGUAACGGCUUACCAAGGCAACGAUGGGAAGAUGGUCUGAGAGGAUGAUCAGCCACACUGGAACUGAGACACUGUCCAGACUCCUACGGGAGGCUGCAGUCGAGAAUCUUCCGCAAUGGGCGAAAGCCUGACGGAGCAAUGCCGCGUGCAGGAUGAAGGCCCUUGGGUUGUAAACUGCUGUCACCAGGGAAGAAAACAAUGACGGUACCUGGAGAGGAAGCACCGGCUAAAUACGUGCCAGCAGUUGCUGUAAUACGUAUGGUGCAAGCGUUGUUCGGAUUUUUUGGGCGUAAAGGGUCCGCAGGGGGUCUACCAAGUCUGAUGUGAAAUCUCACGGCUCAACCGUGAAACUGCAUUGGAAACUAGUAGACUAGAGUAUUGGAGAGGCAAGUGGAAUUCCUAGUGGAGCGGUGGAAUGCGUAGAUAUUAGGAAGAACACCGAGAGCGAAGGCAGCUUGCUGGACAAUUACG
rnacentral:rRNA from 1 species